UACGUAGGGGGCUAGCGUUGUCCGGAAUGAUUGGGCGUAAAGCGCGUGUAGGCGGCCUUGUAAGUCCGUUCUGAAAGCCCGGGGCUCAACCCCGGGAGGCGGAUGGAUACUGCAAGGCUCGAGUCCGGAAGAGGCAAGUGGAAUUCCCGGUGUAGCGGUGAAACGCGCAGAUAUCGGGAGGAACACCAAUGGCGAAGGCAGCUUGCUGGGACGGUACUGACGCUGAGACGCGAAAGCGUGGGGAGCAAACAGG
rnacentral:rRNA from 1 species